rnacentral:rRNA from 1 species
AUCCUGGCUCAGAUUGAACGCUGGCGGCACGCCUUACACAUGCAAGUCGAACGGCAGCGGACCUUCGGGUGCCGGCGAGUGGCGAACGGGUGAGUAAUAUAUCGGAACGUACCUUCAGUGGGGGAUAACGUAGCGAAAGUUACGCUAAUACCGCAUAUUCUGUGAGCAGGAAAGCAGGGGAUCGCAAGACCUUGCGCUGAUUGAGCGGCCGAUAUCAGAUUAGCUAGUUGGUGAGGUAAAGGCUCACCAAGGCGACGAUCUGUAGCGGGUCUGAGAGGAUGAUCCGCCACACUGGAACUGAGACACGGUCCAGACUCCUACGGGAGGCAGCAGUGGGGAAUUUUGGACAAUGGGCGCAAGCCUGAUCCAGCCAUGCCGCGUGAGUGAAGAAGGCCUUCGGGUUGUAAAGCUCUUUCGGCCGGGAAGAAAUCGCACAGGUUAAUACCCUGUGUGGAUGACGGUACCGGAAUAAGAAGCACCGGCUAACUACGUG